rnacentral:rRNA from 1 species
UGGCCAGACUCCUACGGGAGGCAGCAGUGGGGAAUAUUGGGCAAUGGGCGCAAGCCUGACCCAGCAACGCCGCGUGAAGGAAGAAGGCUUUCGGGUUGUAAACUUCUUUUGUCAGGGAAGAGUAGAAGACGGUACCUGACGAAUAAGCCACGGCUAACUACGUGCCAGCAGCCGCGGUAAUACGUAGGUGGCAAGCGUUAUCCGGAUUUACUGGGUGUAAAGGGCGUGUAGGCGGGAGUGCAAGUCAGAUGUGAAAACUAUGGGCUCAACCCAUAGCCCGCAUUUGAAACUGUACUUCUUGAGUGCUGGAGAGGCAAUCGGAAUUCCGUGUGUAGCGGUGAAAUGCGUAGAUAUACGGAGGAACACCAGUGGCGAGGGCGGAUUGCUGGACAGUAACUGACGCUGAGGCACGAAGGCCAGGGGAGCGAAAGGGAUUAGAUACCCCCGUA